rnacentral:rRNA from 1 species
AUUGAACGCUAGCGGCAUGCUUAACACAUGCAAGUCGAACGGCAGCGCGAGGAGCUUGCUCCUUGGCGGCGAGCGGCGGACGGGUGAGUAAUGCGUAGGAAUCUACCUUAUAGUGGGGGAUAACCCGGGGAAACUCGGGCUAAUACCGCAUAAUCUCUACGGAGCAAAGCAGGGGACCUUCGGUCCUUGUGCCUGAAGAUGAGCCUACGUCGGAUUAGCUAGUUGGUGGGGUAAAGGCCUACCAAGGCGACGAUCCGUAGCUGGUCUGAGAGGACGAUCAGCCACACUGGGACUGAGACACGGCCCAGACUCCUACGGGAGGCAGCAGUGGGGAAUAUUGGACAAUGGGGGCAACCCUGAUCCAGCAAUGCCGCGUGUGUGAAGAAGGCCUUCGGGUUGUAAAGCACUUUCAGUGGGGAAGAAAGAACCAAAAUUAAUACUUUUGGGUGUUGACGUUACCCACAGAAGAAGCACUGGCUAACUCUGUGCCAGCAGCCGCAGUAA